CCUACGGGAGGCAGCAGUGGGGAAUAUUGCACAAUGGGGGGAACCCUGAUCCAGCCAUGCCGCGUGUGUGAAGAAGGCCUUUUGGUUGUAAAGCACUUUAAGCAGUGAAGAAGACUCUUCGGUUAAUACCCGGGGACGAUGACAUUAGCUGCAGAAUAAGCACCGGCUAACUCUGUGCCAGCAGCCGCGGUAAUA
rnacentral:rRNA from 1 species